rnacentral:sRNA from 1 species
GCCGAGUGUGGUGGUGCACGCCUGUAAUCCUAGUGGCUUGGGAGGCUAAGGCAGGAGGAUGGCAAGUUCAAAGCCAGCCUUAG